rnacentral:rRNA from 1 species
GGAUUGCCCUAGUAACGGCGAGUGAAGCGGCAACAGCUCAAAUUUGAAAGCUAGCCUUCGGGUUCGCAUUGUAAUUUGUAGAGGAUGAUUUGGGGAAGCCGCCUGUCUAAGUUCCUUGGAACAGGACGUCAUAGAGGGUGAGAAUCCCGUAUGUGACAGGAAAUGGCACCCUAUGUAAAUCUCCUUCGACGAGUCGAGUUGUUUGGGAAUGCAGCUCUAAAUGGGAGGUAAAUUUCUUCUAAAGCUAAAUAUUGGCGAGAGACCGAUAGCGCACAAGUAGAGUGAUCGAAAGAUGAAAAGCACUUUGGAAAGAGAGUUAAAAAGCACGUGAAAUUGUUGAAAGGGAAGCGCUUGCAAUCAGACUUGUUUAAACUGUUCGGCCGGUCUUCUGACCGGUUUACUCAGUUUGGACAGGCCAGCAUCAGUUUCGGCGGCCGGAUAAAGGCUCUGGGAAUGUGGCCUCCACUUCGGUGGAGGUGUUAUAGCCCAGGGUGUAAUACGGCCAGCCGGGACUGAGGUCCGCGCUUCGGCUAGGAUGCUGGCGUAAUGGUUGUAA